rnacentral:rRNA from 2 species
UGUCGUCAGCUCGUGUUGUGAAAUGUUGGGUUAAGUCCCGCAACGAGCGCAACCCUUAUCCUUUGUUGCCAGCGGUCCGGCCGGGAACUCAAAGGAGACUGCCAGUGAUAAACUGGAGGAAGGUGGGGAUGACGUCAAGUCAUCAUGGCCCUUACGACCAGGGCUACACACGUGCUACAAUGGCGCAUACAAAGAGAAGCGACCUCGCGAGAGCAAGCGGACCUCAUAAAGUGCGUCGUAGUCCGGAUU